GUCAGACUCCAUUUUCACCUGGACGAGCAGAAGGAAGGAAAGUGAGCAGCAGUGGUCACCAACCAGUGGAGAGUCUUCACUGUGGAUCCCAGUAAAGCUCUGGAUUCACUGGCUGAGGUGUGAGGAGCAUCGACCUGCAGAGCCAGACUGAAGAUGAGUGGUUAUGAGGAGGAAGAGGAGGAAGAGGACAGAGCCGAGUCUCCAGGGUUCAGCUGUGUGUCUCUGAAGAGUGACAUGUCAAAAGGA